rnacentral:rRNA from 1 species
UACCACUUUGUGAUUCAUGACUGGGGUGAAGUCGUAACAAGGUAACCGUAGGGGAACCUGCGGUUGGAUCACCUCCUAA